ACACUGCUGAUGAGUCCCAAAUAGGACGAAACGCUGUCCAGUGC
rnacentral:hammerhead_ribozyme from 1 species